rnacentral:lncRNA from 1 species
GGAACGCCUUUCUUCAUGAUCCUCAUUGCGAGAGUCAACAUUUUGACCUCCCUGAGGGCCUAGCCUUUUAUGAACAUUUCUCUGUGGGCGUGGCUAUCAAGUCAUGGCCCAGCCUUUUGUGUGCGUUGGUCCUUGAACUCAAUCCAUAUGGGAAACUUUGUUCGCUCUGAGUGUGGCUUGUAGAUGCUUGUGACAUGUUGGCAAGCUGAUGUCCCUCCCCCUGUUUGCUUAGUCCUACUCGACCUGCUUG